rnacentral:lncRNA from 1 species
GCUAUCUACCAACUUUAUCUUCUUCUGGGAAGAUGAAGAAGUGUUCAGAAACAAGAGAGUGGGGUUUCCGGAAAAUUAACUCAGUGUCUGAGCUCAGAAAGAAAGCGGUAGUGGGAAAUGGUUGAUGCUUAUUAAAGGAAAACAUGUUUGUGGCAGGUGCAGCCAACAAUGGCGAGACAGAGCUUCAAGCCAAGCCCACGUCUUAUUAGUAUUAUUAUUACCUAAGUUAUUGUGACUGUGCAUAUUUUAUCAUGUAGAAGAGAAAGAAGUCUUCUUGUAACUCUCAUAACUGGGCACUUGAUGUCUAAAUUGCAUUUAAAAAUUUCAAGACUAGUCAUAAAUAUCUGUUCAUUUUACUUCUUUAACUGCAUACAUCGUUCUAUGAAAUAAGACUUGUCAUUUCUUAAAUGUGUAUGAAAAGCAAAGCAGUUUGCUACCAUUUGAACAACCUGUCAUUAUGACGUUCAUCAUCCAAAAUAUAGUACUUUUUUUUGCUAAUUCCUGUCUUUUCAUCUUUUAAUUAUAAAAAUUUAAGCUUCUUUAAAGUACUUUGAAAGUAUUAUAUUAACAUUUCUAAGUUUUAUUUUAGCUUAGUUAAAAAUCUUUAUUUUUCAAUUUAUGGUUCACUUCUAUAAAUAUUACCAGAACUGACCACCUCAUGAGAUUACCAUAAAACAUCAAAAACAUUAGCAUCAUCUGUAUUUUAUUUUGUAAAUGAAAAAUCAGAAACUCAGAGAGGCUGAGCCACUUCCACAAGGGCACACAGCUGGAGUGAGGAAUGCUGGGAUCACUUGACUCCUAUCAAGUUACCACCCAAGAAUCAAACAGCUUUUCCAAAUUAGCUCUUUAUAAUAUGAGAGGUCAUACUGAAUGGACACAAGAGAUGCAAAACUGACCUUUGACAUCUCUCAAACAGAGGUCAUAGACAUUCUAGAAUGUUAUGAAGUUAUAUGUUCAGUAAAAUACAAUUUUUAAAAGAAUUAUUUGGUGUGUGUGUGCCCGUAGGGGCCAGAAGAGGCAUUAGACCCCCUCAAGUGGGGUCAUCUGUAGUCUUGGAAGAACAGCAGAUGUUCUUAACUGUUCAGCCAUCUUUCUAGCCCCCAACCUCAGUUCUUUGUGGGAAAAAAAAUCCAUAUGUCUAAAGGCUAAGAACAAUUAUACAGAACAGUAAUAGGUAACCGAAUGUGUGACAUUAGAAAUAAUUCCUCUCUCUCUCUCUCUCUCUCUCUCUCUCUCUCUCUCUCUCUCUCUCUCUCUCUCUCUCUUAGUUUAUUUUUUUAGUUUUUUGGCCUCUGUACAUUUUUAGUAAAUCAGUGAAAACAUACUCCAUAACAAGAAAGAUAAAAAUGUUCAAGUCUAUUUCAGUCUCUUCUGUGAUUAAAUUAUCUGGUGUGUUUGAUUUCACUUUUUUUUUUUUUUGUUUUGCUUUGUGAGGUGUCCCCUGCCCCACAACCUGGGAAUUUUUUUUAAGGCAGGUGCGGUAUCUAUGUAUGUACACACACACACACACACACACACACACACACACACACACGCACACUGACCAAUAAACACAGUGGAGUAUUUAAAGUGUGUUUUUCCAUUCCAGUCCAAGUAGCAUAGAGAGUAGUUUUGAGAACUCAAUGUC